ACUCCUACGGGAGGCAGCAGUGGGGAAUUUUGGACAAUGGGCGAAAGCCUGAUCCAGCAAUGCCGCGUGAGUGAAGAAGGCCUUCGGGUUGUAAAGCUCUUUUGUCAGGGAAGAAACGGUGAGAGCUAAUAUCUCUUGCUAAUGACGGUACCUGAAGAAUAAGCACCGGCUAACUACGUGCCAGCAGCCGCGGUAAUACGUAGGGUGCAAGCGUUAAUCGGAAUUACUGGGCGUAAAGCGUGCGCAGGCGGUUUUGUAAGUCUGAUGUGAAAUCCCCGGGCUCAACCUGGGAAUUGCAUUGGAGACUGCAAAGCUAGAAUCUGGCAGAGGGGGGUAGAAUUCCACGUGUAGCAGUGAAAUGCGUAGAUAUGUGGAGGAACACCGAUGGCGAAGGCAGCCCCCUGGGUCAAGAUUGACGCUCAUGCACGAAAGCGUGGGGAGCAAACAGGAUUAGAAACCCCGGUAGUCCCAUGAU
rnacentral:rRNA from 1 species